rnacentral:rRNA from 1 species
AUUGAACGCUGGCGGCAGGCCUAACACAUGCAAGUCGAGCGGAUGAAGGGAGCUUGCUCCUGGAUUCAGCGGCGGACGGGUGAGUAAUGCCUAGGAAUCUGCCUGGUAGUGGGGGAUAACGUCCGGAAACGGGCGCUAAUACCGCAUACGUCCUGAGGGAGAAAGUGGGGGAUCUUCGGACCUCACGCUAUCAGAUGAGCCUAGGUCGGAUUAGCUAGUUGGUGGGGUAAAGGCCUACCAAGGCGACGAUCCGUAACUGGUCUGAGAGGAUGAUCAGUCACACUGGAACUGAGACACGGUCCAGACCCCUACGGGAGGCAGCAGUGGGGAAUAUUGGACAAUGGGCGAAAGCCUGAUCCAGCCAUGCCGCGUGUGUGAAGAAAGUCUUCGGAUUGUAAAGCACUUUAAGUUGGGAGGAAGGGCAGUAAGUUAAUACCUUGCUGUUUUGACGUUACCAACAGAAUAAGCACCGGCUAACUUCGUG